UUUCUUGCAGUCCUGAUGCAUGGAGAAAUGCUCAACUCCUGAUGCAUGGUGAAAAGGCCUUCACAAGCCUCUGCUAAUGUGUACAUAGUUUAUACUAAGUGACCCAUAGGUUGAGGAGGCGGUAACCGUGCUCCCCAACGAAAAGGCAACAACGCAUUCGUAUGUCAAUCCAUAUCAACUUUCGAUGCCAUUGACUGCGCCUACCAUGGUGACCACGGGUAACGGGGAAUCCGGGUUUGAUUCCGAUCAGGGACCCUGACAAACGGCUACCUCAUGCAAGGAAGGCAGAAUGACCCACUCCCGACGCGGGAAGGUAGUGACGACAAAUUACAAUACAGGACUCUUUAGAGGCCCUGUAAUUGUAAUGAGUCCACUUAAAAUCCUUUAACUCUGAUUAAUUGGAGGGAAGUCUGGUGCAGAGCCACUGACCCGUGCGUGCUGCAGCUGAAACUCCACU